CCGUGUGUGUGGGUUUCCUGUAAACUGUUAUUUUGAUGCUGCUGUCUUCUCUGUGGUGAAUGUUCAUGUCCAGGAAUGAAAUGGUCCGGUUUAUUUCCUCUUCGUGUGUGGAUUGUAUGUUUCCCGUGUCGUCCAUGUUGUUCAGAUGAUCAGUGAGUUCUUGUGUGUGUCCAGAUUUUAUUAUUUCCAGGAUGUCGUGGACGUAUCUUCUCCAGAGUGUGGGUCUGCAAAGCGGGGAUGGCUUUGGUUUCCAGGUCCUCCAUGAAAAAGUUACUCAUUAUGGCUGAAAGUGGAUCUUUUUUUCAACUUUAUUUUACCAGCAUUAAAACCUUGUCUGCAGAGAGAAAAGAACGACUCCGUUUUUUGCCAGACUGGAGGAUGUUGGAGGGAGUCUGUUAAUCUCUCUGGACCUGACAUUUGAAAACCUCCACCUCUCCUCACCCUCCCAGCCCACUGAUGUGAGGAAAUCCAGCUCUGAACAGACUGAACUCCUAAAUCCCUCCUGGAAGCUUCACCCUGAACAGACAACUGCAACGCCGUGGUAACGGGCAGAUUACAGCGUCAGACGUUCCUGCAGAAACCCUCAGAGCCCAGAGGGAUUCUUACCGAUGCUCAGGAGAUGGACGAGGAGAAGAAACGUUGUCCAUCCUCCAGACGGAUCUGAAGACCCGACCGGCCUCUGGGGCGGCGUUUGGUGAAGUUAUCUCUGGAGGCUGCUGGAGGAUAAAUGUGGAGAUCUGCAGAUAGAAGCCAAGAAGAUGAACGGAGCUGGAGAGGAAGAAGCUCUACAGUGGUGUUCAAAAUAAUAGCAGUCCUACAUCACUUUAUCAGGAGCGUCAGUGUUGAUUUAACUUAUUUCUGUAAGUUAUACCUUGAAAAAAGAAACGGGGUGCUGGGGGGAGGAGGGGAGCAGGGCCAUGCAGAGACCUUUGGAGGGGCAGGUGCUCAAAGUUAAAAGGGGGCACAUGGAGCAAGAAUUUGAAACAUCAUACAGAAACAUACCUCAUAAUACAAGGUGCAGCAGUGGCUAAGUCUCAGGACUGCUGAUCAGAAGGUCAUUGGUUCAAACUCUGACCUGUGAUGUAGUGUAUUUGAGAAAAAUUAUUAUUUUGAAGCUGAAUUUACAUCAUCAUUAGACACUGGACUGUUUAACUGUGGCUACUCUUCCUGGAGUCCUUGCUUUUAAAUUUCAUACCUUUUCCAGACAUGUACUGUAGAGCCACGGAUUUGCUCCAUGGUGCUGAUUCAUAAUCUGCCCUUCAUUAUUCGUAGUGCUAAUAAUAAGUUUAAAAACAAUUAAAUGAUAUAGAAAUCAUGUA